rnacentral:rRNA from 1 species
ACGCUCGACACCUACUGGAGGCAGCAGUGAGGAAUAUUGGUCAAUGGGCGCUAGCCUGAACCAGCCAAGUAGCGUGAAGGAUGAAGGCUCUAUGGGUCGUAAACUUCUUUUAUAUAAGAAUAAAGUGCAGUAUGUAUACUGUUUUGUAUGUAUUAUAUGAAUAAGGAUCGGCUAACUCCGUGUCCAGCAGCCGCGGUAAUCUGAGGCGGGCUGGCGAAGGC